GAUGAACGCUAGCGAUAGGCUUAACACAUGCAAGUCGAGGGGCAGCAUGGUCUUAGCUUGCUAAGACUGAUGGCGACCGGCGCACGGGUGCGUAACGCGUAUGCAACUUGCCUCACAGAGGGGGAUAACCCGUCGAAAGACGGACUAAUACCGCGUACACUCCAUCUUGGGCAUCCAAGGUAGAGGAAAUGAAAUUCGCUGUGAGGUAGGCAUGCGUCCCAUUAGCUAGUUGGUGAGGUAACGGCUCACCAAGGCGACGAUGGGUAGGGGAACUGAGAGGUUGAACCCCCACACUGGUACUGAGACACGGACCAGACUCCUACGGGAGGCAGCAGUGAGGAAUAUUGGUCAAUGGGCGAGAGCCUGAACCAGCCAAGUCGCGUGAAGGAUGACUGUCUUAUGGAUUGUAAACUUCUUUUAUACGGGAAUAACAAGAGUCACGUGUGACUCCCUGCAUGUACCGUAUGAAUAAGCAUCGGCUAACUCCGUG
rnacentral:rRNA from 1 species